UACGUAGGGUGCGAGCGUUGUCCGGAAUUAUUGGGCGUAAAGAGCUUGUAGGCGGUUUGUCGAGUCUGCUGUGAAAAUCCGGGGCUCAACCCCGGACUUGCAGUGGGUACGGGCAGACUAGAGUGUGGUAGGGGAGACUGGAAUUCCUGGUGUAGCGGUGAAAUGCGCAGAUAUCAGGAGGAACACCGAUGGCGAAGGCAGGUCUCUGGGCCACUACUGACGCUGAGAAGCGAAAGCAUGGGGAGCGAACAGG
rnacentral:rRNA from 1 species